GGCGUCAUAGCUCAGUUGGGAGAGCAGCAGACUGAAGUUGUCACGUGAUCUUACAAAUUACGUAAUCACAAUCUGAAGGUCCCGUGUUCAAGCCACGGUGAUGCCA